rnacentral:lncRNA from 1 species
GGCAACGACGAGACGGACAGGGAUUUCCAGGCGUGCGCCCGGGGGCCACUGGAGACCUGCCCCACAAAGCGGAGGAAAAGCCAAGCGCUCCUGAAAACCUGCGAGGCAGGGCCUGUGCGCGAGUCCAGGCCACAUUCAGGGAGGCCCGCCAGAGGAGCCCAGAGCUUUGGACCAAGUACACCCCACCCCCACGCCGCUACCGCUUAGGUACCCCUGACGCAACCUCCCCUGCAUAUCCAUUGUAUGCCUGUAUCAAAAACAGCUCAUGUAUCACAUAAAUAUAUAUAUCUACUAUGUACCCACACAAAUUGAAAAUUAAAACUUAAAAAAAACAAAUUACAAAUGUCCUGUAUUUCAAAACUUAUAUAAUAUAGAUUGUAGUUCAAACUUCUUUAGAUAGUGUAUUCUGCAUGUAGCUAAAUGCUGUCUACAUGGUCUAUGCAAAAAUAUUUUUAAAUUUAAUGUAUAAGAAGACAACUGCAUUAACAAGACAUUCAAUCAAAAACUUUAGUAUAAAAUAAACGUUGACCUUAAAACUGAGGAACAGCCUCCCAAAGUGCUGGGAUUACAAUAUGUUUUAGAGUCAACUGCAUAGUUCAUAUUAACAUCAUCUUUUUGUUAGAAAACAUAUUUCAAUUGCUUUAGAAAAACAAGACUGUUUGUGUAUAUGAAUAUACCUGUGUAUGUAUGUAUAGGUUUGUGUGCAUGUGUGUGUGUGUACAAGUCUUAAAAUGUCAGUAUUGUUUGUCUUAAGAACUGAAACUUAGCUAAAUUCCAUGGAGGUCUGAGCAACAAAAGCCAAAAUUGACAAAUGGGAUCUAAUUAAACUAAAGAGCAUCUGCACGGCAAAAGAAACUACCAUCAGAAUGAAUGGGCAACCUACAGAAUGGGAGAAAAUUUUUGCAAUCUACUCAUCUGACAAAGGGCUAAUAUCCAGAAUCUACAAUGAACUCAAACAAAUUUACAAGAAAAAAACAAACAACCCCAUCAACAAGUGGGCGAAGGAUAUGAACAGACACUUCUCAAAAGAAGACAUUUUAUGCAGCCAAAAGACACAUGAAAAAAUGCUCAUCAUCACUGGCCAUCAGAGAAAUGCAAAUCAAAACCACAAUGAGAUCUCAUCUUACACCAGUUAGAAUGGUGAUCAUUAAAAAGUCAGGAAACAACAUGUGCUGGAGAGGAUGUGGGAAAUAGGAACACUUUAACACUGUUGGUGGGACUGUAAACUAGUUCAACCAUUGUGGAAGUCAGUGUGAUGAUUCCUCAAGGAUCUGGAACUAGAAAUACCAUUUGACUGGCCAUCCCAGUACUGGGUAUAUACCCAAAGGAAUAUAAAUCAUGCUGCUAUAAAGACACAUGCACACAUAUGUUUACUGCAGCACUACUCACAAUAGCAAAGACUUGGAAUAAACCCUAAUGUCUACCAAUGAUGGACUGGAUUGAGAAAAUGUGGCACAUAUACACCAUGGAAUACUAUGCAGCCAUAAAAAUGAUGAGUUCAUGUCCUUUGUAGGGACAUGGAUGAAGCUGGAAACCAUCAUUCUCAGCAAACUGUUGCAAAGACAAAAAACCAAACAGCCCAUGUUCUCACUCAUAGGUGGGAAUUGAACAAUGAGAACACUUGGACACAGGAAGGGGAACAUCACACACCAGGGCCUGUUGUGGGGUAGGGGGAGUGUGGAGGGAUAGCAUUAGGAGAUAUACCUAAUGUAAAUGAUGAGUUAAUGGGUGCAGCACACCAACAUGGCACAUGUAUACAUAUGUAACAAACCUGCACGUUGUGCACAUGUACCCUAGAACUUAAAGUAUAAUAAAUAUAUAUAUAAAAGAAUUAAAAGACAGUACAUUUCUAUUGUUUAAUGUACUGUCUUACAGUUCUUGAGGAUUAUGAUAGCCCUGGCAAAUUAUUGCUUCUUCAAGAGGGAAAAAAAGGGUUUAUUUCUACACUUGAAAAUGAUGCCGCUUACACAGGGAAGCAGUAGACAUACAAAAUCAGUUUUUGACUCAAAAAGUGUUGAAAGAGGAUAAGCCUUAAUCUUAUUUGAAUAAAUACAUAGAACAAAAUGUGCUGAUUUUAGAUGUGUAAAUAAAGUGAAUAGAAGGAAUAAAGAUUUUACUUCAUUGAUGCAGAGUUCAAAUAAGUGUAUUGCCUUCUAUUUCUGGUUAUAAAGCCUAAUGAAUUAUCAACACUAUUUGCAUUUUCACAAUAUUCCUAAGUUGAGUACAUCUCCUUUUCUGGAAUACUUCAUUUGUUAUCCUUUUUACAUUGUAAAAGUUGAUAUAAACAUCUUAAUUUUAUUCAUGUAAACAGGCAUGUCCAUUUUGUUUUAUAUUUUGACCUCAAGUGAUAUUCAUUCUUUUAGUCUUUGCAUUUUUUAUAGCAGUGUAUUUCUAAGAACUAAUACAAUAAACAAUGCUAUUAAAAUUUAAAAAAUAUCUACUAAAGACAUUAGAACUAUCAAACUAGGAAACACUUGCAAAACUGGAUUUUAAGGAAAAGAGAGUCAAGCCAAUAUUUGGCAAUGUUUUUCUUCUAAAGGACAUUUUCUAUUUGAAAGCAAAUGAGAGGCUGAGAAA